AACGAACGCUGGCGGCAGGCCUAACACAUGCAAGUCGAGCGCGCCCUUCGGGGUGAGCGGCGGACGGGUGAGUAACGCGUGGGAACGUGCCCUUUUCUACGGAAUAGCCUCGGGAAACUGAGAGUCAUACCGUAUACGCCCUUUGGGGGUAAGAUUUAUCGGAAAAGGAUCGGCCCGCGUUGGAUUCGGUGGUUGGUGGGGUAAUGGCCUACCAAGCCGACGAUCCAUAGCUGGUGUGAGAGGAAGAUCAGCCACACUGGGACUGAGACACGGCCCAGACUCCUACGGGAGGCAGCAGUGGGGAAUCUUAGACAAUGGGGGCAACCCUGAUCUAGCCAUGCCGCGUGAGUGAUGAAGGCCUUAGGGUUGUAAAGCUCUUUCAGCUGGGAAGAUAAUGACGGUACCAGCAGAAGAAGCCCCGGCUAACUCCGUG
rnacentral:rRNA from 1 species